UACGUAGGGACCAAGCGUUGUCCGGAUUUAUUGGGCGUAAAGAGCUCGUAGGCGGCCCUCCACGUCGGAUGUGAAAGCUCAGGGCUCAACCCUGGGAUGCCAUUCGAUACGGGAAGGCGUAGAGGUAGGUAGGGGAAAGUGGAAUUCCUGGUGUAGCGGUGAAAUGACGCAGAUAUCAGGAGGAACACCGGUGGCGAAGGCGGCAUCCUGGACCAACACUGACACUGAUGAGCGAAAGCCAGGGGAGCAAACGGG
rnacentral:rRNA from 1 species